UCUCUGGUGGCCUAGUGGUUAGAACAUCCACCUCAGAUGUGAAAGGUUGUGGGUUCGAUCCCCGGUCGAGUCAUACCAAAGA